rnacentral:rRNA from 1 species
AGUGAACGCUGGCGGUAGGCCUAACACAUGCAAGUCGAACGGCAGCACAGUAAGAGCUUGCUCUUACGGGUGGCGAGUGGCGGACGGGUGAGGAAUACAUCGGAAUCUACUUUUUCGUGGGGGAUAACGUAGGGAAACUUACGCUAAUACCGCAUACGACCUACGGGUGAAAGCAGGGGAUCUUCGGACCUUGCGCGAUUGAAUGAGCCGAUGUCGGAUUAGCUAGUUGGCGGGGUAAAGGCCCACCAAGGCGACGAUCCGUAGCUGGUCUGAGAGGAUGAUCAGCCACACUGGAACUGAGACACGGUCCAGACUCCUACGGGAGGCAGCAGUGGGGAAUAUUGGACAAUGGGCGCAAGCCUGAUCCAGCCAUACCGCGUGGGUGAAGAAGGCCUUCGGGUUGUAAAGCCCUUUUGUUGGGAAAGAAAAGCAGCAGGUUAAUACCCCGCUGUUCCGACGGUACCCAAAGAAUAAGCGCCGGCUAACUUCGUG